rnacentral:misc_RNA from 1 species
AACUUUUAGCAAUGGAUCACUUGGCUCUCGCAUCGAUGAAGAACGCAGCGAAAUGCGAUAAGUAAUGUGAAUUGCAGAAUUCAGUGAAUCAUCGAGUUUUUGAACGCAUAUUGCGCUCUCUGGCAUUCCGGAGAGCAUGCCUGUUUGAGUAUCAUUAAACAACAUCAAGCAAAACCUUGCGGGGUGGCGCUUGGACAUGAGUCUUCCCAGCGAAAACGCCUUGGCGUCGACUGGGAUGCUGUAAAUGCAUUGGUUGCAGGCUUGUUCAGCUUACGGCGUGAUAUUUUAUCCUCGCGGAUAAUCCCCUCGCCCAAAACACUGUUCAAGCGCGGCGAUCUAGCAGGAACCCACGGUGCAGCGAGUUUUAGCUGAACCUGUGAACUUGAUCUCAAAUCAGGCAGGAAUACCCGCUGAACUUAAGCAUAUCAAUAAGCGGAGGCU